GAGGAGAGGAAGUGCGUGCGAGGAACUGGGAGCAAGAGGUGUGCAAGAAGCUGAGAUUUCAUAGAGAGCCUUUCAUCUUGCCCAAAGAAGACAUUAAGUUCAUGACAAAGAGAAGAGGGGCAUAAUGUGGUAAUUGGACUGCAAUAAUUGGACUGGGCACCCUGAGGUUGGCUCGACAUGACUCAGUUACUGCACUGGAAUGUUAAGCAGGAUUCCUCUCUGUGACAGUUGCCACUGAGCAGCAUCCUGGGGAGGGGCGGAAGCACUGAAAUGCGAAGUUGUCCCUAGGAAAGGCACUGAGAUGCUGACAGCAGGGGGCUGUACGUGCUCAGUUAGCGCGUCAGGCAAAGGCAGGUUACGAGGAGGAACCAUCUAAAGAGGCAGAUGUCUGCUUCUCAAUUUCUGCUCCCCUUCCUCCAAAAUACUUUGCUUCGUGAGACGUCUAAAGUUCACAGAUGUUCUUCUGGCAAAAGAUGGCAACGUCUGACUCAGCGCUGACUCAAGGAGAGAGAAGUUACUGAAUACAAGGAUAUAUCGCAGCAAUUAUUUUUUAAAGAGAAUAGGGAUGUCCAGAUGCCUCUGUGUUGGGCAUCCUUAUAUCUGCUUGGGAAGUGUAUGUUCUACUCAAAUAUCCCCUCCUGGGCUUGGAAGGAUUUUGCUAACAAAUAGACUUACUAAUAAUAAAAUAUGUGUGAUUAUGAGCUAAAUUCUACCCAUGGUCUCCACCCACUUCCUCUGCUGUUGAGCCCUGUAACAGAAAGUCUGCAGGAAAGGUGCACUGCUGCAAAGUGAUCACAAUCUCUCCUCUGUCCUGAGACAUGCACUAGCUGCUGACUGAGCCGAGGAUGUGGCCAGGAAUGGAUUGAAUCAGCUAGCAGCUUGACCAGUCUCUGCUUGAGGGGUUCCUUGGGAGCCCUGCCCUACAGAAUCCCAGGGCAGGUGCUUAUGCCACCCCCUCCCUUGGAGGGGGGUAAAUCCCCCUGCAGCAGCACACAGGUGCAGAGAGGGGUAACAAACACCGUCCUUACGCUAGUUGGGUAAGGGGUAGGGAAGUAACAACACUCCUAACCUAGUACAUAAAUGCUGGAAGUUUUCUUCCUUACAUGAAGCAGAAUCCAAGCAUUAAUGCCAUGAAAUGCCACCCCCAACCCCCCCACCAAUCCUGCAGGCCCAGGGUCUGCUUUCUAGGGCCAGUCAUAUGAUUCUCCGGGACAUUGAUUGCUCCACCGCAUCGCAUACAAAACCAGUAAUGGCUACAGAGCAGCCAGAGGGCAGGAGUUGGGGUAAUCAAACAACCCUUUUCAGUAGUGUGGGUUGAAAAAUCAAUUGUUCUCAGUGUCCACCAAGGGUAGGAAAAGGCGUAAGCAGCUUAGUUUGCAGGAAGGGAGA